CCUAUUUUGAUGACGAUGUAUUGCAAGUUCGGCUCGGGCUACAGCAGAAACGAAAGCGGCUGAAGAUUGACGCCGUGCCUACCAUAUUCGAUCGGGAACAAGGGCAGGAACCAGUAACGGAGGCGGCAGCAAGCACGUCAACGGGAUCAACUGGAUUUGAUGUGGAGGUCAUGGCUGAAGCAAGUGCUGGGGACCCACUUCCCACUUCA